rnacentral:pre_miRNA from 1 species
UUAACUCAUAUUUGUAUAGAAUGGGAUCGUUUGCUUGCGUUUGCCGCUAGGGGCGCUGUUCCAACUGUAUACAAAAUUGGGUUA